GUGAUUGUUUUUAUUCAUUUGGCUCUAACCGAGACUUAUACAGAAGACUUUACUGUUUUGAAAACUAGAUAACAUGAUGAAAUUUUAUCAGACCACAAAUCAAAACAUUAUGCAGUAGGUUUAACAAGUUAACAUAAUAGCCAGGAAGCAAACUAAAAAACUACUGAACAUCUCAAAUACAAGUCCAAUAUCCAGACAUACAGAAAGAAAUUUAUCAGAGGUUAAGUCUCAAAUUACAUGAGAACUUAUUGAUCGGAGUCACCAGGGAGGAAAAAUAUCAUGCAGGACUUUCCAAUCUCUGAUAUGCCAACAAAUGUCCAUCUGCACAAUCAAUCAGCUAUCAGUAAAAAAAUUGACAUGGACCAAAAAUAUUUGCACAAGGAUUGCAAGAGAUAGAGAACUUUUUCUUAAUCAUAUUUAAACUGUUGCAUGAACUUUGUCCAAUUCCCCUGUCAGAAAAUGUUCCCAUCACAAUGCCAAAAAAAAGUCAAUUUUAAAUGGUAAAAUUCUCUCUGAGAAUAAUGUCAUAGCAGGCCAGAUACCUUGGCAAAACUUUGUUUUAGCAUCAAUUUACAACUUUUGAACUAUUAACCACAAUGCCAUGAUGAAAGCCUUUUGUAAAAUCUCAAAUAUAAUUUAAUGCAAAAAAAUGUAAGCUCCUGAGUUAAAAUCUUAAUUAAUUAAGAUGUAAAAGAAUUUAACCUUAACAUAUAUCCUCCUCAGUUGGCAUCAAUUUAUUGUAAAGAAUAUUAUGUAGAAUGCAUUAUAAGUCUACACCAUAUUUUAUGCAAUCCGAUUCAAGGCAAUCUUUGGGAUUGUAAUUCCAACUUUUUGGAAAAACACCAUUUUAGAUGUUGAAAAAAAAUAUAAUUUAAAAAAUUGUCUAGCUAUUUUUGAAUUUUUAUGACCAAAACAUGUCAAAUUUAACUUAAA
rnacentral:misc_RNA from 1 species